AUAAAGUGCAGAUGAAUCAGAUCCUGAUAAUUAUCAGCUGGUGAAUGCUGAGUAUCUGAUAAAGCCCUUGAAUGUUUAAGAAGGGCAUGGAGAGCAGGAGGCUGCCUGAUGUUGUGGCUGGCUCUUGUGCAAUGCCUGGUGGGAUGCUGUGUCCUGCUGUGCUGCAGAGUCAGUUGAAACAGAUACUGCGAUUCAGCCCAAGUUCUGAGGAGCUUCAGUUUCCCAAAAUAAGGUACCAGUCUACGGAGUCUCCAAAACUCAAGAGCAGAUCAAGAGCUGCCAUCAAGAGCAGAUACCUCAGGAGACAAAUGCUACGGUUUUCCCACAGUAACAACACAUUUUUAUACAUGGAAGGAAACUGCUGGAUGUGAAGACACCGCACCCUAGUGAAAGCACAUAUAAAAUUCAGUUGCUGUUAUUUGGAGAGAGUGAAACAGCAAAAUAUUUUACUGUAUUCUUUCUGUUUUGAUGCCAUAUGAUGACUGAACUUUCACAUUUAAAA
rnacentral:lncRNA from 1 species